AAACGAUGAUGGACUGGAAGGGACCUCAGUAGGUCAUCUAGUGAAGUUCCCUGCACUCAAGGCAGGACUACAUAAUAGCUAGACCGUUCACGACAGGUGUUUGUCUAGCAUGUUCCUAAAAACCAUCAAUGAUGGAGAUUCCACAGCCUCCCUGGGCAAUUUGUUCCAGGGCUUAGUUACCCUGACAGGAAGAUUUUCGUAAAGUCCAAUUUAAACCUCCCUUGCUGCAGUUUAAGCCCAUUGAUUCUUGCCUAUCCUCAAAAGCUAAGGAGAACAAUUUUUCAUCCUCCUCCUUGUAACAAUCAUUUAUUUACUUUUAUGUACUAUUUUUUCAAUCUUUCCUCAUUGGUUGCAUUUUCUAGACCUUUAAUAAUUUUUGUUGCUCUUCUCUGGACUUUCUCCAAUUUCUCCACAUCUUUCCUGAAAUGGUGGUGCCCAGACCUGGACACAAUAUUCCAGUUGAGGCCCAAUCCAUGUGGUGUACAGGGCAAGAAUUAUGUCUCAUGUCUUGCUUACAACACUCCUGUUAAGUCCAAGAAUGAUGUUUGCUUAAUUUGCAACAGUUUCACACAGUUGAUACUCAUGUAGCUUGUGAUCCACUAUAGCCCCCAGCUCCCUUUCUGCAGUACUCCUAUCUUGGCAGUCAUUUCCCAUUUUGUAUGUCUGCAACUAGAGACAGAUUCAUGGGGCUGGGGCUAGAGCAAGUGGGAGCUCCCUCCUCACCCAUUCCACCUGUGGUCCUUCCCCUGUUUCAGCCCUCCAUAUGUGACCCUGCCCAUGGUCCCACCCCUUUCUGCCCCUUCCCUGAGGCCCUGCCCCUGUUCCACCCAGGGUGCCCUCCCAUUCUGCCCCCCCCAACUGUGGCCCAAAGAUGCUGUGUCCCCCUGCUGCAGCUCUAGGCCGCAGCGAGGAGUGAGAACUUUCCCAACACUGAGGCCUCAGCAGGUAGCGAGCACUCCUCCAGUCCCAGGGCCACAGCAGGGGUCCCAGUGUUGGUGCUUCCCCUGCUGCCCCCCGUCAGAUGGGGUGGGAGGCGCUGGGGGCUUCCUCUGCUGCCCCCCGGCUUCUGCUGGGGAUGGUGUCAGGGAGCACAUGGGGCUUCCCUUGCUGCCCCCAGCUUCUGCCAAGGACGGUUGGGGGGCGCAGGGAGGUUCCCUGCCUUCUGCCAAGAUUGGAGGAUGCUAGGGGCUUCCCCCACACACACCAAACUCAUCCCACCCAUCUGGCGUUGUUGCUCAGGAGCAGGGUCUGGGCGUGGGGGCUUUCCCUACCCGCCCAAGGCCCCCAGUUGGCCCUGGGCAUGGGCCCCAUAGGCCCAGUGGCUAAUCUGCCACUGCAUGUAACUAAUUGUUCCUUCCUAAGUGCAGAACUUUGCAUUUUUCCUUAUUGAAUUUCACCUAGACCAUUUCUCCAGUCCAUCAAGAUCAUUUUGUAUUUUACUUCUGCACUUGCAACCCCUCCUCCCAGCAUGGUAUCACCUGCAAACUUUUGAAGUGUACUCUCUAUGAAGUUAUUGAACAGACCUGGACCCAGAACUGAUCCCUGCAGAACCCCACUCAAUAUCCCUUUCUAGCUUGACUGUGAACCACUGAAAACUGCUCUCUGGGAACAGUUUUUCAACCAGUUAUGCACCCACCUUACAGUAGCUCCAGGUAGGCUAUAUGUCCCUAGUUUAUUUAUGAGAAGGUCAUGCAAGACAGUAUCAGACGCCUUACUAAAGUCAUGUAAUAGCACAUCUACUGCUUCCCUCCCAUCCACAUGGCUUGUUAAACUAUCAAAGAAAGCUAUCAGGUUGGUUUGACAUGAUUUGUUCUUGAUAAAUGCAUGUUGACUGUUGUUACUUAUUGCCUUAUAUUUUAGGUGUUUGCAAAUUGAUUGCUAAAUUAUUUGCUCCAUUUACUUCCUGGUACUGAAGUUAAGAUGACUGGUCAGUAUUCCCCAGGUUAUACUUAAUCCCCUUUUUAUAGAUGGGCUCUCUGCCAGUCCUCAACAAUCUCGCCCAUUUUUUGUGAGUUUUCGAAGAUAGUCGCUAAUGGCUCAGUUCCUUGACUAUUUGAGGAUGUAUUUCAUCAGAUCCUGCUGAGUUGAAGACAUCUUUCUCAGCUAAGUAAUUUUUAACUUGUUCUUUCCUUAUUCUAGCUACUGUGCAGGAGGGAUAUCCCACUCACACUCUGGAAGCACUAGGACACAGGUGUGAGCUUGGUGAAAAGGGACAGAAAGGAGCCAACCAGAGACUCCACCCAGUAGAAAUACAUAAAAAUGGCCAUAUUGGGUCAGACCAAAGGUCCAUCUAGCCCAGGAUGCUGCCUUCUGUCAGUGGCCAAUGCCAGGUACCCCCGAGGGAAUGAACAGAACAGAUCUACUUUGGGACAGUAUGUCUAUUGCAAGAGACUACUCACUGUGCACCAGCAGUGAGGUUCCCACACUAACAGCUGAAAUCACUGAGAGCUGUGUUAAGUGGGGGUCCUGAAGACAUCUUGGCAUAGCCAGCAGGGCAGCUGGUGGAGAGGGCCAGACCAGAGAAGAGCCCCCCCAGAGAGGCACAGCAGUCAGCUGUUGGGGCAAUGAGUGAGUGCCCAAGCAGUGCAGCAUGUAUGGUGCCUCCUUACCACCACCCCUCACGCACACACAGAGUGGGAGACGAACUCUGCGGAUGGAUCUCUGGACUCGGGGGCUGCACUGGCCAAGGACAGCAACUGUGCAUGGGGUGCAAAGAAGGGACAGGCACGUUAAAGGGACUUUUGGGUUGCUGGACUUAAGACCCUGAGGGCAAAAGGAUAUUGCCCAACUUACUUGGGGGUGGGUCUUUUGCUCACGGUUUGUGUUUAUGAACCCUAGUUGCGGUGUUUUCCCAAAUUAAUGCUGAGUUACUUCUCUCCUUUUAUUAAAAUUUUUUCCUA